rnacentral:rRNA from 1 species
GAACGGACGAGAAGCUUGCUUCUCUGAUGUUAGCGGCGGACGGGUGAGUAACACGUGGAUAACCUACCUAUAAGACUGGGAUAACUUCGGGAAACCGGAGCUAAUACCGGAUAAUAUUUUGAACCGCAUGGUUCAAAAGUGAAAGACGGUCUUGCUGUCACUUAUAGAUGGAUCCGCGCUGCAUUAGCUAGUUGGUAAGGUAACGGCUUACCAAGGCAACGAUGCAUAGCCGACCUGAGAGGGUGAUCGGCCACACUGGAACUGAGACACGGUCCAGACUCCUACGGGAGGCAGCAGUAGGGAAUCUUCCGCAAUGGGCGAAAGCCUGACGGAGCAACGCCGCGUGAGUUAUGAAGGUCUUCGGAUCGUAAAACUCUGUUAUUAGGGAAGAACAUAUGUGUAAGUAACUGUGCACAUCUUGACGGUACCUAAUCAGAAAGCCACGGCUAACUACGUGCCAGCAGCCGCGGUAAUACGUAGGUGGCAAGCGUUAUCCGGAAUUAUUGGGCGUAAAGCGCGCGUAGGCGGUUUUUUAAGUCUGAUGUGAAAGCCCACGGCUCAACCGUGGAGGGUCAUUGGAAACUGGAAAACUUGAGUGCAGAAGAGGAAAGUGGAAUUCCAUGUGUAGCGGUGAAAUGCGCAGAGAUAUGGAGGAACACCAGUGGCGAAGGCGACUUUCUGGUCUGUAACUGACGCUGAUGUGCGAAAGCGUGGGGAUCAAACAGGAUUAGAUACCCUGGUAGUCCACGCCGUAAACGAUGAGUGCUAAGUGUUAGGGGGUUUCCGCCCCUUAGUGCUG